CCUACGGGUGGCUGCAGUGGGGAAUAUUGCACAAUGGGGGAAACCCUGAUGCAGCAACGCCGCGUGAGUGAAGGAGUAUUUCGGUAUGUAAAGCUCUAUCCGCAGGGAAGAAAAUGACGGUAACUGAUUAAGAAGCCCCGGCUAAAUCCGUGCCAGCAGCCGCGGUAAUACGUAGGGGGCAAGCGUUAUCCGGAUUUACUGGGUGUAAAGGGAGCGUAGACGGCAGCACAAGUCUGGAGUGAAAUGCCGGGGCUUAACCCCGGAACUGCGUUGGAAACUGUGCAGCUAGAGUGAAGGAGAGGGAAGUGGAAUUCUCAGUGUAGCGGUGAAAUGCGUAGAUAUUAGGAGGAACACCAGUGGCGAAGGCGGCUUACUGGACUGUAACUGACGUUGAGGCUCGAAAGCGUGGGGAGCAAACAGGAUUAGAUACCCGGGUAGUC
rnacentral:rRNA from 1 species